UAUCGUGUCUGAUGUUGGAACGGUUCAAUCAAAUCAAAUCUCCUAUGAAUUGGGUCUUUUAAUUUGAUUGAGCCGUGCCAAUAUCGACCAUUGUCGUAA
rfam:Cucumis sativus cultivar 9930 chromosome 1, whole genome shotgun sequence.